GCGCGCGUGGCGAAAUUGGUAGACGCGCCAGGUUUAGGUCCUGGUACCCCUAGGGUGUGAGGGUUCGAGUCCCUCCGCGCGCA
rnacentral:tRNA from 1 species